CAUCCGGGCUACACACGUGCUACAAUGGCCGGUACAGACGGACGCAAAGCCGCGAGGUGGAGCAAAUCCCUAAAAAAGCCGGUCUCAGUUCGGAUUGCAGGCUGCAAUUCGCCUGCAUGAAGUCGGAAUCGCUAGUAAUCGCAGGUCAGCAUACUGCGGUGAAUACGUUCCCGGGCCUU
rnacentral:rRNA from 1 species